ACAAACAAAAAUACUCAUAUUUUACGCACAGACAUAUUACAGGAGUGUGCAGUUCCGUAGGAAGUUCUUUUUGGUAAGGGGGUGGCGAGGGCCGAAGGCCCGAAGAAAUUUUUAAAUUUAGAGUCUCUGAAAUGCCAUUUCGUGGACUUUGGGGGGAAGUUUUGAACGACUUCUGAUGGUCAGAAAACAGCACGUCGAAAUUUACAGAAAUUGGGCGAAGGCGUAUUUGGGUAAUAUGAUUCUUUGCGGUUUGUCAUGGGUAAUGUAGCCGCUUAAAAUUAAUCAAUUGUCAGUAUUUUAAAGAUAUAUCGAGGGCUGCCCUCUCUCCCCCCCGUUGCUACGGCUCUGGAAAGUAAUAAACCGAAAAACAUUUACCGAUCUACGAUUUGUUAAAUGUUAUCCAUGUAAAUGCCGUGAUUUUGUCAAUCAGUUUAUGAUACUGACAAUACAAUUUUAUAAUAUUUUCUCUGUUUAAUUAAACAACUAAAAUUUUGUUACACUAUUACUGCCGUAAUUUUCCGAAUGACCAACCUGAUUUUCCGAAUAUGUUAAUUCCAACCCCCCCCCCCCAAUACCCCCCUUCGCUACGGCCCUGU